rnacentral:rRNA from 1 species
UUUCCUACGGGAGGCAGCAGUGGGGAAUAUUGGGCAAUGGGCGCAAGCCUGACCCAGCAACGCCGCGUGAAGGAAGAAGGCUUUCGGGUUGUAAACUUCUUUUCUCAGGGACGAAGAAAGUGACGGUACCUGAGGAAUAAGCCGCGGCUAACUACGUGCCAGCAGCCGCGGUAAUACGUAGGUGGCAAGCGUUAUCCGGAUUUAUUGGGUGUAAAGGGCGUGUAGGCGGGAGCGCAAGUCCGUUGUGAAAAAUCAGGGCUCAACCCUGAGCCUGAAUUUGAAACUGUGUUUCUUGAGU